rnacentral:lncRNA from 1 species
CCUAGCUUUGUUGGGAAGAAGAUCGGGCACCGAACCUGUUGAUAUCCUAAAACCUCAACUGCAGGAUUUAUGGAGCUGAUCUUUGAGCAAUUCUGGUGUUUAUUCAGUGAAAUCAAGAUGUUUGGCUUUACAUACUUUUUUGGCAGGCAAUUCAUCUAUUUCUUUGGAUCUUGAACAUAUUUUGAAAUUUGUGGAAACUUUUAUACCUUCAAAAAUAGCUUUUUGCAUGGCAAAUUUUAUGAUUGAUGUCAAUUACCUUUUUUUUACCUCUCAACUUGAAGAAGACACUAAUCACCUUUUUAUUUGUUGUCUCUUUUCUUUAACAGUUUGACGAAAACUUUUGAGCUAGUUGAAUGUUUCUUCCGUGUUGCAUGGUUGUUGUUGGUAACUUCUUUUCUGUCAUUUAGAAUUUUGUUUAAGGGUCAAAAGCAGAAAAGAAUAGGAAUAUUAUUAUAGUAUGUUAUGGUUGCUUAGAAAUGACAUCGUUUUUAAUAAUCAGCCCUAUGAUAUUAUUAUAGUAUGUUAUGUUUGUUUGUUUCUUACGUCAACAAGAGCACAAAACCAAUAUAACAAAGCUGGG